GGUUCUAUGGUGUAAUCGGUUAGCACUCUGGACUUUGAAUCCAGUGAUCCGAGUUCAAGUCUCGGUAGAACCU
rnacentral:tRNA from 1 species